rnacentral:piRNA from 2 species
UGCCCAGUGACUCAGAAGGAAGCAGGA